rnacentral:rRNA from 1 species
GGGUUGUGAGGUUAAGCGACUAAGCGUACACGGUGGAUGCCCUGGCAGUCAGAGGCGAUGAAGGACGUGCUAAUCUGCGAUAAGCGUCGGUAAGGUGAUAUGAACCGUUAUAACCGGCGAUUUCCGAAUGGGGAAACCCAGUGUGUUUCGACACACUAUCAUUAACUGAAUCCAUAGGUUAAUGAGGCGAACCGGGGGAACUGAAACAUCUAAGUACCCCGAGGAAAAGAAAUCAACCGAGAUUCCCCCAGUAGCGGCGAGCGAACGGGGAGGAGCCCAGAGCCUGAAUCAGUGUGUGUGUUAGUGGAAGCGUCUGGAAAGGCGCGCGAUACAGGGUGACAGCCCCGUACACAAAAAUGCACAUAUUGUGAGCUCGAUGAGUAGGGCGGGACACGUGGUAUCCUGUCUGAAUAUGGGGGGACCAUCCUCCAAGGCUAAAUACUCCUGACUGACCGAUAGUGAACCAGUACCGUGAGGGAAAGGCGAAAAGAACCCCGGCGAGGGGAGUGAAAAAGAACCUGAAACCGUGUACGUACAAGCAGUGGGAGCCUCUUUAUGGGGUGACUGCGUACCUUUUGUAUAAUGGGUCAGCGACUUAUAUUCUGUAGCAAGGUUAACCGAAUAGGGGAGCCGAAGGGAAACCGAGUCUUAACUGGGCGUUAAGUUGCAGGGUAUAGACCCGAAACCCGGUGAUCUAGCCAUGGGCAGGUUGAAGGUUGGGUAACACUAACUGGAGGACCGAACCGACUAAUGUUGAAAAAUUAGCGGAUGACUUGUGGCUGGGGGUGAAAGGCCAAUCAAACCGGGAGAUAGCUGGUUCUCCCCGAAAGCUAUUUAGGUAGCGCCUCGUGAAUUCAUCUCCGGGGGUAGAGCACUGUUUCGGCAAGGGGGUCAUCCCGACUUACCAACCCGAUGCAAACUGCGAAUACCGGAGAAUGUUAUCACGGGAGACACACGGCGGGUGCUAACGUCCGUCGUGAAGAGGGAAACAACCCAGACCGCCAGCUAAGGUCCCAAAGUCAUGGUUAAGUGGGAAACGAUGUGGGAAGGCCCAGACAGCCAGGAUGUUGGCUUAGAAGCAGCCAUCAUUUAAAGAAAGCGUAAUAGCUCACUGGUCGAGUCGGCCUGCGCGGAAGAUGUAACGGGGCUAAACCAUGCACCGAAGCUGCGGCAGCGACGCUUAUGCGUUGUUGGGUAGGGGAGCGUUCUGUAAGCCUGCGAAGGUGUGCUGUGAGGCAUGCUGGAGGUAUCAGAAGUGCGAAUGCUGACAUAAGUAACGAUAAAGCGGGUGAAAAGCCCGCUCGCCGGAAGACCAAGGGUUCCUGUCCAACGUUAAUCGGGGCAGGGUGAGUCGACCCCUAAGGCGAGGCCGAAAGGCGUAGUCGAUGGGAAACAGGUUAAUAUUCCUGUACUUGGUGUUACUGCGAAGGGGGGACGGAGAAGGCUAUGUUGGCCGGGCGACGGUUGUCCCGGUUUAAGCGUGUAGGCUGGUUUUCCAGGCAAAUCCGGAAAAUCAAGGCUGAGGCGUGAUGACGAGGCACUACGGUGCUGAAGCAACAAAUGCCCUGCUUCCAGGAAAAGCCUCUAAGCAUCAGGUAACAACAAAUCGUACCCCAAACCGACACAGGUGGUCAGGUAGAGAAUACCAAGGCGCUUGAGAGAACUCGGGUGAAGGAACUAGGCAAAAUGGUGCCGUAACUUCGGGAGAAGGCACGCUGAUAUGUAGGUGAAGCGACUUGCUCGUGGAGCUGAAAUCAGUCGAAGAUACCAGCUGGCUGCAACUGUUUAUUAAAAACACAGCACUGUGCAAACACGAAAGUGGACGUAUACGGUGUGACGCCUGCCCGGUGCCGGAAGGUUAAUUGAUGGGGUUAGCGGUAACGCGAAGCUCUUGAUCGAAGCCCCGGUAAACGGCGGCCGUAACUAUAACGGUCCUAAGGUAGCGAAAUUCCUUGUCGGGUAAGUUCCGACCUGCACGAAUGGCGUAAUGAUGGCCAGGCUGUCUCCACCCGAGACUCAGUGAAAUUGAACUCGCUGUGAAGAUGCAGUGUACCCGCGGCAAGACGGAAAGACCCCGUGAACCUUUACUAUAGCUUGACACUGAACAUUGAGCCUUGAUGUGUAGGAUAGGUGGGAGGCUUUGAAGUGUGGACGCCAGUCUGCAUGGAGCCGGCCUUGAAAUACCACCCUUUAAUGUUUGAUGUUCUAACGUUGGCCCGUAAUCCGGGUUGCGGACAGUGUCUGGUGGGUAGUUUGACUGGGGCGGUCUCCUCCUAAAGAGUAACGGAGGAGCACGAAGGUUGGCUAAUCCUGGUCGGACAUCAGGAGGUUAGUGCAAUGGCAUAAGCCAGCUUGACUGCGAGCGUGACGGCGCGAGCAGGUGCGAAAGCAGGUCAUAGUGAUCCGGUGGUUCUGAAUGGAAGGGCCAUCGCUCAACGGAUAAAAGGUACUCCGGGGAUAACAGGCUGAUACCGCCCAAGAGUUCAUAUCGACGGCGGUGUUUGGCACCUCGAUGUCGGCUCAUCACAUCCUGGGGCUGAAGUAGGUCCCAAGGGUAUGGCUGUUCGCCAUUUAAAGUGGUACGCGAGCUGGGUUUAGAACGUCGUGAGACAGUUCGGUCCCUAUCUGCCGUGGGCGCUGGAGAACUGAGGGGGGCUGCUCCUAGUACGAGAGGACCGGAGUGGACGCAUCACUGGUGUUCGGGUUGUCAUGCCAAUGGCACUGCCCGGUAGCUAAAUGCGGAAGAGAUAAGUGCUGAAAGCAUCUAAGCACGAAACUUGCCCCGAGAUGAGUUCUCCCUGACCCUUUAAGGGUCCUGAAGGAACGUUGAAGACGACGACGUUGAUAGGCCGGGUGUGUAAGCGCAGCGAUGCGUUGAGCUAACCGGUACUAAUGAACCGUGAGGCUUAACCUUACAACGCCGAAG